UGGCGAACGGGUGAGUAACACGUGAGUAACCUGCCCUUGACUUUGGGAUAACUUCAGGAAACUGGGGCUAAUACCGGAUAGGAGCUCCUGCUGCAUGGUGGGGGUUGGAAAGUUUCGGCGGUUGGGGAUGGACUCGCGGCUUAUCAGCUUGUUGGUGGGGUAGUGGCUUACCAAGGCUUUGACGGGUAGCCGGCCUGAGAGGGUGACCGGCCACAUUGGGACUGAGAUACGGCCCAG
rnacentral:rRNA from 3 species